UGCCUAGUCGUAAACUUUAACUUACACCUCAUCACCAGGGAACUACGAGCAAAGCUUAAAACCCAAAGGACUUGACGGUACCCCAUAUCCCCCUAGAGGAGCCUGUCCUACAACCGAUACCCCCCGUUCAACCUCACCACUCUUAGUCUAUCAGCCUGUAUACUUCCGUCGCCAGCUUACCGCGUGAGCGAAUAAGUAAGCUUAAUGUCACACAUCAACACGUCAGGUCAAAGUGCAGCACAUAGAGUGGCAAGAGAUGGGCUACACUUUCUACUGUAGAAAAUACGAAAAGAUAUGUGAAACCAUAUUAAGAAGGUGGAUUUAGCAGUAAGGGCGGAAUAGAGUACCCCCCUUAACUCGGCACUGGGGUGUGU
rnacentral:rRNA from 1 species